AGAAGAAGAAGAAGAAGCAGAAGCUGCUCCAUAGAUCCCUUGAGGUCCCUUAAGUCCUUGGAAAUAGCUAAACGCAUGGAUAUAUCCUUUUUGACAUGUAAUUUAGAACUGCUAGCAAAGGAAAUGGCAGUAUACACAUCCAUAUGUCAUGUUUUUUGUCUGUGUCUGUGUCAAUGUGUUUAUUUGUUUGUUCUUUUUCCUUUUGUUGUUUUUGUGCUUUGGCAGUAAGGGUGAGGGUGAAGGAAUAGAAAGAGAGAACAUAAGAGAGAUAUUCAGCAAUUCAAACCACAAAUUCUCUUCAUAUGCAUGGACAAAAAUCUUUCUAUUUAAAAGAGCCAAUUAAAAAAAAA
rnacentral:misc_RNA from 1 species